rnacentral:rRNA from 1 species
UACAGAGGUCUCAAGCGUUGUUCGGAUUCAUUGGGCGUAAAGGGUGCGUAGGCGGCGCGGUAAGUCGGGUGUGAAAUCUUGGAGCUUAACUCCGAAACUGCAUUCGAUACUGCCGUGCUUGAGGACUGGAGAGGAGACUGGAAUUUACGGUGUAGCGGUGAAAUGCGUAGAUAUCGUAAGGAAGACCAGUGGCGAAGGCGGGUCUCUGGACAGUUCCUGACGCUGAGGCACGAAAGGCCCAGGGGG